rnacentral:rRNA from 1 species
GCCGGCGAGUGGCGGACGGGUGAGUAAUGCGUAGGGAUCUACCUAAAAAGGCCUGGGAGUAGCCUGUGGAGACGCAGGGUAAUACCGGAUGUGAUUUACGAAUUAAAGCUGGGGACUUUCGGGCCUGGCACUUUUAGAUGAACCUACGUCGGAUUAGCUUGUUGGUGGGGUAAAGGCCUACCAAGGCUUCGAUCCGUAGCUGUACUGAGAGGUAGAACAGCCACACUGGGACUGAGACACGGCCCAG